UUUGGCAAGCUACCUUUGCAUGUGAUUCCACUGCAACCUGACCCAUUCUCAGCCUCCUUCCAACACCCAGCUCAAGAGAGACCUUCUAUAUUGGAAAAAUGAAGUCUCACAAAAGAAUUAAACAGAUCAAACAUUUUGACCUUUUGAUGAGUGGAAAAUGUUGGGAUUUUUUUCUGUCAAUCCUUAGACCUGAGAAAAAAGUUGAGGUCAUAUCCAGCAGCUCUUGAAGAUGCCUGCCAUUAGAAGACGCAAGGCUGAGGUUAUAAUAGAAAGGUAAAGAAGGAUGGAUAUUUGCCCUUGAUGACACUUGAGUGCUUUGACAGUGACAUAACACUUCACAUACAUCUCUAUUUUAUAUAUUGAAGAGAGACAGCUCAUCAGAUACACAAACUAUAAAUCUAAACUGUAAAUUCUUCCUAUCCAGAUGUCUGUAACACACACCAAAAAAAUUAUAUGAAAAAAAAUUAUUUCUGUCCUCUUCUGUGCUCUUUGCUUAUUAAAAUGUAAAAUUUGAGACAUUUGAUUGAGUUGUUAGGUUCUUAACACACUGAAUAUCUUUUGUUACAACAAAGUGAACUCCCUAAAAAUUUUAACUCAAAGCCAACAGGUAAGGUUCAGCUGGAAGGGACUCUGACACCGACUCCCUGUACAACCUUAAGGAAAUCUCUUUUUUCUUGUGUUCCUCCACUGAGAGCUAUUAGAGUCAAUUCAUUAAUGUGCACAAAUGUGAUUUAAGACCAUCAGACAGAAAAUAUUAAAGGAAAACCACUGUCAUCAUAGAUUUACAUUAAAUUAUCUUAAUAAACUGAAUACUAUGCUGUCUUUAGUUACAAAGUUAAAAAAAAGGUAGGCAAGCAGAGUCACACUGUCCUAUAACUAACAUGGCAGGGAGAUCUGUGACAGGAGAUGUACAGUUUCACAACAACUAAAACUUCAGAGGCUUUCUGCAAAACUACAGGUGAAAGCAAUGACAUGUUUCAUUUAGAGGUUUCCUAAUACUGUUUGUCUGGGAAAAAAAAACAACCAAAAACCAGAAGAGAAAGAAGGUAGCAAUUACUAUUGGGGAAAAUAUAAAAGAUGACUGCUGUGUGUGUGCCAGGCAUUGGAGAAAAUUACUACUUUGUCUUUACCAGAGAGAUGACAUUAUCCCUACAGCCAAACAGAAGCUACACUGUAAAUGCAAAGUUCAGAUAUAUUCAACAAGAAGAGGUGAGAAAUCCAACUGGAUAGAAACAGAGCCAUUCCCAAGUUAAUUUGGAUAAAGAAGUUUUGCCUACAGUCUAGGCUGCAUACAGCAGUUUACCAGUCACUUAGAAGAGGUGGUGGUACCAUCCCCAUUUUGGAAGCUCUAACAGGUUAGUGAUGGGAACCACCCAGGAUGACGAUGGGAAGCUGAGUGGUCACAAGCACAAGAGAGAUAGUUGGCACUGGGCUUUUUGCAUGUAUUUAAAUGAAUGAUAGCCCUGUGCUGCCAAAUGGAGAGACUGUACUUUCCUGUUUGGGAAUAGAUUCCAGAAUUGGAAUGGUCUACAAUGACCCAGCAGGCAUAUCCCAAAUAAAAUGAUGGCUUAUUGGGUAUGUGAGCUUUUCACAUUUAUGCCUGGAUUUCUCUGUAUGACUGCUGGCUUGGAGGGAAAGACC